UACGUAGGGGCUAGCGUUAUCCGGAAUUACUGGGCGUAAAGGGUGCGUAGGUGGUUUCUUAAGUCAGAGGUGAAAGGCUACGGCUCAACCGUAGUAAGCCUUUGAAACUGAGAAACUUGAGUGCAGGAGAGGAGAGUAGAAUUCCUAGUGUAGCGGUGAAAUGCGUAGAUAUUAGGAGGAAUACCAGUUGCGAAGGCGGCUCUCUGGACUGUAACUGACACUGAGGCACGAAAGCGUGGGGAGCAAACAGGAUUAGAUACCCUGGUAGUACCUGA
rnacentral:rRNA from 1 species